rnacentral:pre_miRNA from 1 species
AUGGUACUCCCUCCGUCCGGAAAUACUUGUCGGAGGAAUGGAUGUAUCUAUAUGUAUUUUAGUUUUAGAUACAUCCAUUUAUAUCCAUUUCUGUGACAAGUAUUUCCGGACGGAGGGAGUAUUUA